rnacentral:lncRNA from 1 species
UAAAAGAUAAGUGAGGGAAGGGGGGGAGUGUGCUACUAUUGUGUUUCUCAGCUAACAUUGCUGUAUACUAUGGCUAUAGACCUGAUUUUAUAGGAAAAGAGUUAAAAAAAAAAAGCUAGUGUUUUUAUAAUCCUGGAAGGUUUGUGAAGGACUUUAGAUGUUACCUCAUUUUGAUCCUCACAGCCCCCUCUUACGUAGGUGCUAUUAUUAUCCCUAUUUUAUAGAUUAGGAAACUGAGAUAGAGAAAUUUUCUCACAUUUUCCAAUCCAUGUUCUCUCUCUUCCUCCCACCAUCCCCUCUUCUCUAUGUAACACAUUUAGGGUCAAGCUAGAAAGUAUCUGGGACAAGAUUUGAACUCAGUGACUUCCAGAUUCCAAGUCCACAUCACCUAGUCACCCAAUGUGGAAAAUUGGAUGGAAGCUCACAAUGGCAGCUUCAGUUUGGUGACCAAUGUGGCUCUCCUUAGAGUCGUGGUUCUUUGUGUGAGGUGUGCCACUGGAGAAAGACUCCUGCAUCUGACUGCUGAGAUUGUGAACAAAAAGAACAAAGGUCUAUAUGGGACUGCAAUGGUACUGAUGCCUGCUACAAGAGUCAUUAAAGUCCAGCAGUAAGACAAAAUUUGAGGAUGUCUGGAAAUGACCUGGAAUGGUCUGAUUUGGACAUUUUUUAAGGACUUCUUAUGAGCUUAGGUAAGUGAGGGACUGAAGGAAUAGUGAGGAACAUCUGAGGGAAGAUGUCCUUAUCAGUAAUAGCUCAGUGACCUAUGAAUGAGGAUUCUUAUUUCUCAUGGUUU